rnacentral:misc_RNA from 1 species
UUUCCGUAGGUGAACCUGCGGAAGGAUCAUUAUCGAAUUUCGAGGGGGAGGAAGAUGAGGAGUGGAGACUGUCGCUGGCUUUCCCGCCUGGGAAGCAUGUGCACGCCUUGUUUUUCGUUGACCUUUCUCUUACUCUCACACCUGUGCACCCAUUGUAGGUCCUCGAAAGAGGAUCUAUGUUUUUAUCAUCACACGCAUCGUAUGUCCAUAGAAUGUAACAUGAUCGUCGAUCGACCUCGCGGUCGGGUGGCGGUCUAAAUAAAUAAAUACAACUUUCAGCAACGGAUCUCUUGGUUCUC